rnacentral:misc_RNA from 1 species
UCCGGUUUGUCACCGGCAGUCUCAUUAGAGUGCCCUUGCGUAGCAACUAAUGAUAAGGGUUGCGCUCGUUGCGGGACUUAACCCAACAUCUCACGACACGAGCUGACGACGGCCAUGCAGCACCUGUGUUCUAGCUCUCUUUCAGGCACUCUCCCAUCUCUGGGAGAUUCCGUACAAGUCAAGGGUAGGUAAGGUUUUUCGCGUUGCAUCGAAUUAAUCCACAUAAUCCACCGCUUGUGCGGGUCCCCGUCAAUUCCUUUGAGUUUUAAUCUUGCGACCGUACUCCCCAGGCGGGAAGCUUAAUGCGUUAGCUGCGCCACUGAUGAGUAAACCCACCAACGGCUAGCUUCCAUCGUUUACGGCGUGGACUAC